rnacentral:rRNA from 1 species
GCUUGUCUCAAAGAUUAAGCCAUGCAUGUCUAAGUAUAAGCAAUUAUACCGUGAAACUGCGAAUGGCUCAUUAAAUCAGUUAUCGUUUAUUUGAUAGUACCUUACUACUUGGAUAACCGUGGUAAUUCUAGAGCUAAUACAUGCUAAAAAUCCCGACUUCGGAAGGGAUGUAUUUAUUAGAUAAAAAACCAACGCCCUUCGGGGCUCCUUGGUGAUUCAUAAUAACUCAACGGAUCGCAUGGCCUUGCGCCGGCGACGGUUCAUUCAAAUUUCUGCCCUAUCAACUUUCGAUGGUAAGGUAGUGGCUUACCAUGGUUUCAACGGGUAACGGGGAAUUAGGGUUCGAUUCCGGAGAAGCGUCCCGAGAAACGGACGCUACAUCCAAGGAAGGCAGCAGG